GAUGAACGCUGGCGGCGUGCUUAACACAUGCAAGUCGAACGGUGAAGGCGGAGCUUGCUCUGCUGGAUCAGUGGCGAACGGGUGAGUAACACGUGAGCAAUCUGCCCCUGACUCUGGGAUAAGCGCUGGAAACGGCGUCUAAUACUGGAUACGAGCUGCGAAGGCAUCUUCAGCAGCUGGAAAGAAUUUCGGUCAGGGAUGAGCUCGCGGCCUAUCAGCUUGUUGGUGAGGUAAUGGCUCACCGAGGCGUCGACGGGUAGCCGGCCUGAGAGGGUGACCGGCCACACUGGGACUGAGACACGGCCCAGACUCCUACGGGAGGCAGCAGUGGGGAAUAUUGCACAAUGGGCGAAAGCCUGAUGCAGCAACGCCGCGUGAGGGACGACGGCUCUCGGGUUGUAAACCUCUUUUAGCAGGGAAGAAGCGAAAGUGACGGUACCUGCAGAAAAAGCGCCGGCUAACUACGUG
rnacentral:rRNA from 1 species